rnacentral:sRNA from 12 species
UAACACACGCGGUUCGCCGCCAGGCUAAUGGCCUGCUGGCAAGAAGGUGGAUUAAAUGCCACUCAGGUAAGCCGGAAGGGGACACAAUGAGAUGACCGCAGUCUCGUGCCCCUUCCGGUUUGGCUAG